CGAGUUGUUGAAUAGAUAGUGUGAGCUCUGACUUGAACUUCCAACCAUCAUAAACUUUCAAUGAUCUACAAGAAAUCAAACAUAAAGGAUGUAAGCAAAUAUUUGCUUAGUAAGUUCGUAAUAAACUUAAACAAUUUGCAAUUAGCAAGAUCAUGAGUUCAUUAUUAAUCUACACAUAUCACAAGUCUCACAAGGUCAAUGAGUUCACAUAUACGAAACUUAUAACCUUAUUAUGUUAUAAGACAUAUACAAGUAAACACAUUAGAUAUAUCAUUCAUUCAACACCUAUUCAUUUAACAUUUCACAUUUACAUUUAAAGUGUUCAUUUCAAAAUUCCAUUUUUACAUAUCUAUCCAUAUAAACAUUUCGAAUAACUCUCUCAUAUAACCAUUUCAUAUUACACAUUUAACACAUAAUCAUUUUGUAAAUCAAAUUUCAAUUUCUCCAUUCAAUGUCUCAUUCCAUAUAACUGUUUUAUAUACCCAUUUCACUUUAUACAUUUAACAACAAUGUUAAUAAACAUUCAUCCUAUCAACCAAAAUCAUUCAACAAAUGAGUUCUAUUUACACGAGUUGCAUAAUCUAAUCAGUCAUAUAAGAUCAUUCAACACCAAGUCACGAUAUAAUAUCGGAAAUCAUGUAAACAUUUAUAUAAUUUAUUAGCAAGUCAUUUAACCAUUUAAAAUAUACCCGAUGAACGAUAUAAACAGAUACGGAUACGCGGUUAUUCACCCAAGACACGCUAGAAAGCUCAAACAAGCCAAACCAGCUGAAAACACGCAUGGGCACCAAGUGUCUAGCCCAUAGGCUAACAUCCACCCUCGAUAACAUGCUAGAAUUACUGUAAAUAUAACACGAUAGUCCUCAACAAAUGUUGGACUCCGAUAUAUUCAGUAGAUAAUAAUAAGUUAGGAAUCAUUAUCUCAUCACAAGUCAAUCCCGUAUAGCGCACAAUAUAACCUAUUGGCAUGCCAAUUGUAUUCUAUCCUAUGUUCAUCCGAGCUCGAUACACGUAAUCAUAUAACAGUUUACAUUUCAAUCCAUUUUCUCACCAAUUCAAUCGUAAUAUUUCAGAUAUAACCAAUGUCAUCAAAUUACAUAAUUUUUAAUAAUAACAUUACUAAAAUACACAAAAUAAUACCAUAUGAACUUACCUAAACACAAUGGCUACGAACACUUCAAUGAUAAUUACUUGACGACUUUUCCUUUCCUGCAAUUAUCAAUCGAUUGAUCCAUUUCUUAAUCUAAAUAUAAUAAUUUAAUUCAAUUGUUCCAUUCAAAUACUUUAAAAUACUUAAAUUCAUGUAUUUUACCCUUUAUCAAUAUUUUAUACUUUUACCCUAAACUUUCAUCUUUUAUUCAAUUUAGUCCCUAAACUCGAAACUUCAAAUUAAACAUAAUUAAACUCAAUUCAUGCUGACUGAAUUUUCCAUAGUCCCUAUACAACCCAUAUUUAUUACAUUUUCACAAGCUUAUAAACAUAUCAUCAAACUUCAAAAACAUCACAAAUUCAUCAAUGACAUAAAUUAUAACAUUUAACAAUUUUACAAAUUAAUUCUUAAAUUAACUAGAUUAAACUACAACGAUCUCAAAAACAUAAAAAUCAUUAAAAAUAGAAUAAAAAUACAUGCAAUGAAUUUUAUUGAUAGCCGAAACUUUGGUGUUCUUCAACCACGGCUUUUGAUGAAGGAAGGUUGAAGAAAGUGAAUAAAAACAAUAAUGAAAUGGCCAUUUUUCUUGUUUUUGUUUUUAUUACCUUUUUAACAUUAUUAAAUUAUAAUAUAAUAUAUAAUUUUAUAUAUAAACCAUUAAUAAAUCGUCCAACAUAAAUGAUUAUGGCUUAUUUGUCAAAUAAAAUAAUCGAACAAGUCAUUUAAACUCAUUUAACCCUUAUAAAUUAAUAGUGAUUAACUUAUUUAAUUUUUAUGAUUUUGUUUUUUUUACUAAAUGAACUAUUAAAAUGUUAAAAUUUUUCGAGCAAAUUUCAAUACACUUAUAUAAUAAAUUCGUAAAUAUUUAAUAAAAUAUAAAUCCGUAAAUAUUUAAUACACCUAUAUAAAUAUUUAUGGAUUCAGUUUACAGAAACGAGGUCCCGAAACCUCAUUUUUCAAAACCACUUAGCUUUAGAGACAAAUCACUUGAACUUAACUAUUCAUUCUAUUAAUAAAAUUAUCAAAUCAAAAUUCAUAUAAUACUAUUUUUUUACUCGUAAAUAUUAACUAAUAAUAUUUACAAACUCACUCGUUGGAUUUGUGGCAUUGAAACCACUAUUUUCGACGCCACUAAAAAACAGGCUAGUUACAACAUUAUUUAAAGAAAAACAAUAAUAUUUUUGUAAAAAAAAUUUGUUGGAGUCCUAAAUUAAUUUACAAACCAACAACUUAAACAAAAUCUUUAAAUAUAUCAUUUCAUUUGAAAUAAGAUUAAACUAUAAAAAUAAUCGUUUAUAUUUAUUUAAAUUUACGUGAUCAUUAAAUUUUUAAUUGUUCCCAGCUUAAAUAAAGAUGUUGCAAUAUGAAUAUUGACAAACUUGGAAUGCGACAGAAAAACCGGUUGUCCAAUAGAUUCAAGAAGUUUAAGUUCAGACAAGAUGAGAUUUCACGACCAAUGUCAUCAGAAAACUUGUUGGCGGAGGC
rnacentral:lncRNA from 1 species